AACCACAUAAAAAUGCAAUCUAAAGGCCCGAAAAAAUUCGACAAAUUCGAAAAAUUAUCGAAAAACGCGACUCCGCACUGCCACGCCCUCACGUUCAGUGGAAAUUCCAGUCCGGGUUCCAGUGUUCCAGCGAUACAGACCCGCAGCUUCCAGCGCGAAUAAACAGCUGCAUUGCUCCAUUCCCACACGCUGAGAUAAAAACCGAACACAGCCGGCCAAUGCAUACAAAUGAGCGAAGGAGCCCUGGAGUCACGUAGCCACCAGGACGCACCUCAUCCCUUGGAGCAGCGGCAGAGCGGUCUGGACCAAAAUUAAUGGAUCCCACGAGCGGCGGAGGAGCAUUUUCGGUGUUCACACAAAUUAAAUUCCAUCAAGUUUAUUUGCUGUAAUUUGCCUUAUUUGCCUAAUUUAAUUUGCCCACCCUUAACCCUUUGUGCCCCCAACACGUGUUGCCAGGUUUACAACCAUUUGCCACUUAGAAGCGAAACAAUAGGCCUAUAGACAACUACACUUGGACACCCAUGUAAAUAGUCAUUAUAAUUAUUAUUGUGGUCUACGCUGGAUUAAAAUUCAGGGGUUAUCCUAGGAAAACCGAAAGUUGUAAACAUAAAUCUAAUAUUUAUUACGAAACUUCAUAUGUGUGCAUCUUGCAAAUGCUAUGAUUGCAAAAUUAAAAACGAAAUACAAAGCAAAGAGACGAAAGAGCAGAGGGCAAAUCUAUUAAUUAGUAAUUAUUAUAAUGUGAUGUUAUAUAUAUAAAUCAAUCUUUAACAAGAAACCUAAAGCAAGUAAAGCAGAAAAAUAAAAAAUAUACAAAACUGUUAACCAACGUAACAAAUUUCACUAAGUAGAUUUUUCGAAUUAAAUUUAAAUUAUAAUAAAUAAAAAUUAUAGCAAGAAAAGCAGAUAAAAAACAAAAGAACUUUGCUGUAAACACGAUAUAAAACUGCGUUUUUCUACUAAAAAUGAAUAUGUAAAAUGAUUUUUCAAACUUAGAUUACCUACCCCAUAUUCCUAAUUAUAUAAAAACCAAUUAUACAUAUAUAAAUUACAAAUUCUAUGUAAAUGUUGUGCGUAUAUAAAGCAAAGCGUAGAAUCCCACAUUCAAAAUCUUUCAGUUAUUUAUUAUGUGUGUGCUAUAUCUUCUCUAUGUAUACAUAAAAAGAGCGCUUGGCUUCGACUAGCUAACAUUUUGGGCCUUAAACCAACCUACUCAAGCCGGGGCCUUGGUGUUCUUCUUAUUACCCAGCAUUCUUCAGAUCGAUAUAUCUAUAUACCCCUGGGGAGGGGAGCAACCCACACACUACUCGUUAUUCUAUAUCUACGUGAAUGUGUUCGUUUCUAAACUUGUAAAAAAGCACGCUCCCCUCUCCGCUUAGACACGAAAUGUUUGUAAAAUAUUGAAUGAGAGAAAACGAUGGAAAAUACGAAAUUAACCUAUAAUAUUAAUACGAUUUUCGAGAGUAAAGGAAGAAAACAUUUUAGUUUUUCUACUUGAAUCGCAUUUCUUCCACUUUUCACCAAUCAAAUUAAAUUUACAUGAAAAAAUACGAUACGAAGAAUUGAAUUUUGAGUCUCUUCAAUCCUCAAGCUCAAAACCCAAACAAAAUUAAUACAAACUUAAAAAUAAUGAAGUUUCUAGGUUCUAUUAUUUAGUUGUCUUGUUAUUUAUAUGUUUAGCUUUAGUUCUUGUCUAAUUUAUUUAUAAGUUUUGGCUCCGCAAUAAAUAUAGACAAUUAUAUAUA